rnacentral:rRNA from 1 species
GACGAACGCUGGCGGCGUGCUUAACACAUGCAAGUCGAACGGAAAGGCCCUGCUUUUGUGGGGUGCUCGAGUGGCGAACGGGUGAGUAACACGUGAGUAACCUGCCCUUGACUUUGGGAUAACUUCAGGAAACUGGGGCUAAUACCGGAUAGGAGCUCCUGCUGCAUGGUGGGGGUUGGAAAGUUUCGGCGGUUGGGGAUGGACUCGCGGCUUAUCAGCUUGUUGGUGGGGUAGUGGCUUACCAAGGCUUUGACGGGUAGCCGGCCUGAGAGGGUGACCGGCCACAUUGGGACUGAGAUACGGCCCAGACUCCUACGGGAGGCAGAAGUGGGGAAUAUUGCACAAGGGGCGGAAGCAUGAUGCAGCAACGCCGCGUGCGGGAUGACGGCCUUCGGGUUGUAAACAGAUUUCGCCUGUGACGAAGCGUGAGUGACGGUAAUGGGUAAAGAAGCACCGGCUAACUACGUG